CAACGUCCUGCCAAACCCGUC
rnacentral:siRNA from 1 species